rnacentral:rRNA from 1 species
AGAACGAACGUUGGCGGCGUGGAUUAGGCAUGCAAGUCGAGGGAAUCCCAGCAAUGGGGGAACCGGCGUAAGGGGCAGUAAGGCAUGGGUACCUACCCCGGGGUCUGGGAUAGCCGUCCGAGAGGGCGGGUAAUACCGGAUGACGUGGUGACACCAAAGGUCCGCCGCCCUGGGCGGGGCCCAUGUGGUAUUAGCUAGUUGGUGGGGUAACGGCCCACCAAGGCGGAGAUGCCUAGCGGGUGUGAGAGCACGACCCGCGCCACUGGCACUGAGACACUGGCCAGACACCUACGGGUGGCUGCAGUCGAGGAUCUUCGGCAAUGGGGGCAACCCUGACCGAGCGACGCCGCGUGUGCGAUGAAGGCCUUCGGGUGUAAGCCCUUUGUACGGGAGAAAGCUUUCGGUUAAUAACCGGGAGUCAUGACGGUACCGUAAGAAUAAGCACCGGCUAACUUCGUGCCAGCAGCCGC